ACAUGGGGGUCCCCAUAUCCCCACAUGUGGGUCCCCAACGCCACAUGGGGGUCCCCAUAUCCCCAUACUGGAGGUCUCUAUCCCCUGGGGGUCCCCAUAUCCCCACAUGGGGGUCCCCAUAUCCCCAUAGUGGGGGUCCCUAUCCCUGGGGGUCUCCAUCCCCACAUGGGGGUCCCCAUUUCCCCAUAUUGGGGGUCUCUAUCCUCAAAGGGGGGUCCCCACAUCCCCAUAGUGGGGGUCCCCAUCCCUGGGGGGGUCCCAUCUCCCCACAUGGGGGUCCCCGUGUCCCCAUAGUGGGGGUCCCCAUAUCCCCAUGUGGGGGUCCCCAUAUCCCCAUACUGGGGGUCUCUAUCCCCAAAGGGAGGUCCCCACAUCCCCAUAGUGGAGGUCCCCAUCCCUGGGGGGUCCCCAUAUCCCCAUCCCUGGGAGUCUCUAUCCCCUGGGGGUCCCCCAUCUCCCCUCAUGGGGGUCCCCAUCCGCACAUGGGGGUCCCCAUCCCCCGACAUGGGGGUCCCCAUCCCUGGGGGGUCCCCAUAUCCCCACAUGGGGGUCUCCAUCCCCACAUGGGGGUCCCCAUCCCCAUAGUGGGGGUCUCUAUCCCCAAAGGGAGGUCCCCAUCUCCCCAUCCCUGGGGGGGUCCCAUCUCCCCACAUGGGGGUCCCCAUAUCCCCAUAGUGGGGGUCCCCAUCCCUGGGGGUCUCCAUCCCCACAUGGGGGUCCCAUAUCCCCAUAGUGGGGGUCCCCAUCCCCACAUGGGGGUCCCCAUAUCCCCAUAUUGGGGGUCCCCAUCUCCCCACCCCUGGGGGUCCCCAUCUGCACACGGGGGUCCCCAUAUCCCCAACAUGGGUGUCCCCAUAGUGGGGGUCCCCAUCCCCGCAGUGGGUCCCCAGGGCUCUCUCCGUCCCGUACCUGCUCCGCAGUCCGUCCAUGGCGGCCUCCACUCUCGCCCCAUAUUCGCUGCCGUCCACCCUCAGCCCCUCCCCGACCCUCAGCGCCGCCCGCGCCCGGCGCCGCCCCAACUCGGCGCUGGUGGCCGCGUCCUGGAGCCUCCGGAUGGCGGCGGCCACCGACUCCACGUCGUCGGGGAGCUCCGGGAGCAGCAGCGNNNNNNNNNNNNNNNNNNNNNNNNNNNNNNNNNNNNNNNNNNNNNNNNNNNN
rnacentral:lncRNA from 1 species